rnacentral:misc_RNA from 1 species
GAUGAAGAACGCAGCGAAAUGCGAUACUUGGUGUGAAUUGCAGAAUCCCGUGAACCAUCGAGUCUUUGAACGCAAGUUGCGCCUCAAGCCAUUAGGUUGAGGGCACGUCUGCCUGGGCGUCACAUAUCGUUGCCUGAUGCCAGUUUCCUCGUGAUGGGUGACUGUGCAGGGCGAAUGAUGGCUUCCCGUGAGCAUUGUUGCCUCAUGGUUGGUUGAAAAUUGAGUCCUUGGUAGGGGGCGCCGUGAUAGAUGGUGGUUGAGUGACGAACGAGACCCAAUCAUGUGAGACCCCUACCGAAUUUGGCCUUCAUGACCCACAUGCGUCUUUGGAACGCUCAUGACGAGACCUCAGGUCAGGCGGGGCUACCCGCUGAGUUUAAGCAUAUCAAUAAGCGGAGGA